CAGAAAAGCUGUCUGCCGGAAAAGGGCAUUUUCAAAGUCACACAGCAUGAAUAUCUUCUUGUCAAGACCCAUUACAAGAAAAAAGUUAUCUGAUCUCACAGUGGAGCUGGAGUUUUUACUGGAGGCCUCCAUCCUGUGUUGGAGGCUGCCUCACACAUUGCCACUGCUGAUGCUGAAGUUUCCUUUCCUGUUUCAUCUCUAUCCAAGCAGUGGAUGGCUGAAUAGGAGCCUUGAGCAUGCUUUCCCAGUAAGGGAAAGUCUCUUCCCAGGACUGUAGGUAGGCACACCUCACUCUGACAAUCUGACUUAGAGGGAGUAAUGCUCAGACCUUUCUGCAGCUGUGCGUGAUGUGUAUGCUGUUGUGUGCUUCCUCAGGCACCUGGACAAGGAAGCAGACUGGACCUUUCAUAGACAUUGCUGUCCUCUGCCCAGCCCAGGAAGCACAAAGCAGCCUGGUCCCUAGCUGUCCCUGGAAUGUUCAGUUAUAAUUUGGCUGGUAAAGGCAGCUGGGCCUGGGAGCUGGGACAGCUCUGGUGUACCACACUGUGUAUAUGGGGCCACCCCUUUCCAUCUGCUAACACUACCCUUAAAAACGUGAAAUAUUUAUGUAUGAUGAGGCCAUUUAUCUUCAAGGGCAGACUCAGAGAACUGCUUUGUUGAAAUUAAAGUACCUAUAGUAAUUAACGACUUUUGCUGGUACUGAAUUCAAGUGGGAUGGAAUUGUGAGCCUGAGAAGAUUUUAGAUGUCAUUAACAAUCCCUUGUGUCGUCAUUCUUUCAGUCAUUCAUUGACACAGUCUUUCAAGAAAACGCACUUGCAGGAAUAAUUGGACUGUGCCUUGCACUCAAAUUCAAUACAACUUUUCCUUCAGUUGCUUUUUGUAAUUCAUGAUGAGGAAAGACUGAAAAAAGUUAAGAAUACAGAAAAUUUCUUUUUGUUUCAGAAUUGAAGAGACUAAUACCUCAAAAUGAUCUGCUACAGCACUUCAUGAAAAUCAGAUUUCAGUUGUCUUUGAGAGGAAGACAGAAUUGGAAAUGUUCAGAGUAGCAAUUUAUAAUAAACUACUUUGGAAACAAAUGUGACAGAAACAAUUUUAAUGAAAAGGAGUAAGGCUAGAAAACUCAGGUUAUGCUUUCAAAUUCUCUGAAGUCUCCAAAUGAGAUAUUUGCUACCUCAAUAACAAAUGCAAGAUCUGCACUUUGCAAAGAAAAUGUAACAAGUAAAAAAAAAUACGAUUGACCUGACAAAAAUCAGCAAGCAAAAUCAUGAACUGCUUAUGCAGAGGGCUUAUCCCGUUGUCCAAUGCAAGGUUUUUUGCCAUCACAUAUUUCUUUUUCUAGUUCUAUUUUUGCAUAUUUGUUGUUGUUUUAUUUUUCUUAUUUCUCCCUCAAACUUUAGUUCUUCUGGACAGACUUUCAUUUCCAUUCCUGUAUAAUCAGUGUCUUGCUCAUUAGGGACAUGGUGUAGCAUUUCAGAUUUUAAAUGCUCCUGACAGAACAAAAGAGAGCCUAUAUCAGUUACACAGCCUGGAAGUUAUUGUGUUGAUGUUUCAUGAAAUGAAGAGACUCUGCUGAUUUCAUUAUUCCUCUUGCAAACCUUUCAAUCUGUAUGAGAUAUGUGCUCAUUUUGUAUUUUUGCUACUAUUGCUAAUAUUCUUGUUUUACUUACUUGCAGUCAUCAUUACUG